GCCACUGAAAAUAGGAGUCCCUCCUCAUUCCCCCAUAGAUUUUGUGGCCUCAUGGUUGAAUUGGUGAAUAUGGAAGAAGCCAACUUCAUCAUGAAGAAUUUGAGGGAUGAAUGGCCGGUAUUGGGGCAAAUCCAUUAGUCUUAUUUAGUCAAGUUUCAAUCAUGUGAACACCAGAAUGUGAAAACCGGAAUUGAAGAGACUGAGAAGAUGAUUGAGAAAUUGGAUCAAGAUGAAGAUCAGAUCAUUGAAAAGCUUAAGAAAAAAUUGUUAGAUCGAGAAGAGCUGAAUUCAUUAUUGAAGACUCUAAGGUAUCGGGAAGAGGAUUUUGAAAGAAGCAUUGUUUGGAAGAGAGGAGAGUUGCACCCUCUGCAAGCAGCUCGAGACAAACUGUGUUCUGUGAACAAAGCAUACGAAGUGGGAACUAUUUGCUCAGGGGGAGAGCCAAAUACCUUAAGUCUUCAUCUCAAAAUGCUGCAUAAGACCAAAAGUAUAGCCGAGGAGAAGAAGCUCCUUAGGGAAAUAAAAGUAAGCCAAACGGGGGCGGUUGAUCCAUGCUUGUCUAUGAAAAAGCUCAAUUCUAGAAUCAUGGGAUUGUACUCCGGGAUGCUAUGGGUAAGAAGAAGUUCAGCUGAGAGAAAGCAGCUGUUCGGAGAGAUCAAAGAGCUUGAGGUGGAAAGAGACAACAUGAUCUCUACUGCUAACUUGAAGGGAAAGACUUGGGAUUCUUUGGGUUCAAAAGAAGCUAUACUAAACAAGAUCAAAGAUAUCAGCAUUGAUUUGGAUGGAACAAAGAAGAAGCACCUGUCAGUUAAGGCUGAAAUUAAGCAUGUUAAGAAAGAGAUGAGGGCCAUAGAUAAGUGUAUGAUUCCUUUACAGAAGAAAUUGGUAGCUGUUUACCGGGAAAAGGAUGUAACAUACAAACACCUCCUUGAACUGAGAAAACAAGAAGAUGAAGGGGUAUGAUGGCCUCCUUCUGAUUCACAAUAGCAUGUGCAAUGCAAAAAAAUUCCUCGAAUGAUGAAAUGUUUGGGACAAAGUUGACUUGCAAAAUAUCAGGUUGAAUUGAUGGAUAUGGAAGAAGACAAGUUCAUUUGAAGGAUUCUGUGGAUGAAAGGCCAACCGUGGAGCAAAUCCCUUUGUGUCAUUUUUUCGAGUUUCAAUCAUGUGAGCCCCUGGAUGUGAAAUCUAGAAUUGAAGAGACUGAGAAGCUGAUUGAAAACUUAAUCAAAUGAAGAUCACAUCAUUGGAAAACUAAAGAGAAAAUGGGUACACUCGAAAUGGCUUCUACCUUACUGCAAACCGAUACUAGUAUCUAUGCCAGGUUCCCUCCAACUUUC